GAGCGAAAAGGGAAGAGCCCAGCGCCGAAUCCCACCCUCGCAAGGGGGUCGGGAAAUGUGGCGUUUAGGAGUGAGCGUGCCGGUGGUUGACUCUGCAGCAAGUCCCCCUGACCGGGGCUGUUACCCAGAGUGGGUGCGAGGCCCAUAGCUGCUAGGUCUCUGCCGGAUGCGAUCUCCUUGGAGUCGGGUUGCUUGGGAGUGCAGCCCUAAUCGGGUGGUAAACUCCACCUAAGGCUAAAUACGGCCGUGAGACCGAUAGCAAACAAGUACCGUGAGGGAAAGUUGCAAAGAACUUUGAAGAGAGAGUUCAAGAGUACGUGAAACUGCUCAGAGGCAAACAGGUGGGCCCUCGAAAUCCUGUGGCGGGAGGAUUCAGUCUGGGGCGGUGGACGUGGGUACGGAAAGACCAGAAGGCUCAGCGUGACGCUGCCGUUCCGAUCCCGCGGCUUCGCUGCCCUCGACGCAAUUGUUUCCCGUCCAAAGGACGCCGCAACCGGUUGGGGAACGGCCUUGAGGUGGGGAGAUGGCAGGUGGCCGGUGUUCCGCCUCGUGCGGUCCGCCGGUUGUUAGCCGUUCCCACUUGGCUCGAGACCCGACCGUGGUGACACUAGGCCCCUCUGUGGGCCUACACGCCUCCUCCGUAUGGAUGCCGGGCACUUGAAGUGGCAGGAGAUUCUCCCGAUCCACAUCGGGGCGGCGCACGGACUCGCUUCGUGGCCGUCUCGCGGGAGGCUUCGUUGGUCGCUCGUGGCCCGUCGGAGCGCUGGCGGUUAGCGGCGAGAGAUCUGAGUCCCUC
rnacentral:rRNA from 1 species